ensembl:lncRNA
AUGACAGGGCCGGGCAGCAGGGCCAUCGCACAGUUGAAUUGCCACAGUGACAUGUUUGGACAGAGGCAAACACAUACGACAAAUGGAGGACUUUCCACUCUUCCUCCCCACUCCAGAGAAUACCACUUUGUGAACCUGAAAAUGUCCUGGACUAAAGCUCAGAGUUACUGCAGAGAACACUUCACUGACUUGGUCACCAUCUACAACAGCAACAUCAACCAACUGCUUGUUUCAAUAGGACCAAGUAUUAAUGAUUUUGCUUGGAUAGGGCUCUAUGAUGAUCGUUACAGAUGGAAGUGGUCCAUGGAGGGAAAACUUUUUUAUGUUGGCAGUACACAUGAAUUUCUGAUCUGGACUAACGGCCAACCAGACUGUGUAAAUGCAAAGGAAUACUGUGUGGCUCUUCAGGGACAAACACAGAUGGAUGAUAGACCCUGUGGAGAUUCUUACCCUUUCUUGUGUUACAAGGGUAUGAAAAAGAUUUGUUGCACUAGUUAUUUAUACAGUUUUAUGUGCUUCAUAACGUGCAUGUUCUUUUUUUUUUUUUUAAACCAUUAACAGACAAAAAUACAAGUUACAUCUUAGUGAUGGAGAGCCGCUCCUGGUCAGCGGCUCAGUCGUACUGCAGGACAUACCACACAGACCUGACCAGUAUAAGAAGCAAAGAGGAGAAAUCCAACAUCAUGCUCACUUUGAAUGGAUCAGGGGUUCAGUAUGUGUGGAUUGGUCUCUACAGGGAUCCCUGGGCCUUCUGGUCUGACAACACAACCUCAACAUUUACUAACUGGAUGUCUUCUGAGCCUGGAAACCUCAAUUCAAUUGAAUACUUUGGAGCAUUUAAUUUAAUGUCAGGGAUAUGGGCUGAUGACUUCUGUAAAAAUUCUUUCUAUUUUUUCUGUUUCACAGGUGAGGUCCAGAAUUCAAACACUGUAAGAUCCUGUCAUCAUGUAAAACACUAAUGUUUGUGUUUUUAUAUGUGGUUCAUUUUUAGCAGUGACAAAGCAAACAGUGGUGAAAAUGAAGCUUCAGUCAGAGGCAGACAUGCACAGCACAGAGAUCCAGCAGCAGGUUUCACAGCAGGUCAGCAGUUCAGUCACCAACACAAACUUGACACAAGUUCAAACUAUGCUUCAUGUUUUUCAUCAUCUGCACAUUUUGUCCAGCUGUCAGGCCUCAUGCUGUCAGAAGGACUGACAGACUUCAGGAUUCAUUGCAGGAAAGUCCAGAGUUACCGUGACGACCAGUUGAAGAAGCAGGAUGUGGGCGGUGACUGCAAAACUGAAGUCUGACUGGACUGAACCACUUCAUGUGUGAAGUUAAUAACAUGCUGUGCUGAGCUGUCUCAUCCUUUACCUCACCUUGCACUGUUGCCAUAGUUAUUGUUGUAAUCUUAAUUUUGCACUUUCUUCAUUUCUUCUUAUUGUAUUUUAAAGAUUAAAUUAGCUUUCUUUUUUUUAAUUAAUGUUUUUGUGUUGUGCAAAUAAUCAACAGCUGUUUGUUUGAAAACGAUGUACACAUGUAGGUUGGUAUAUAUCACCUUUUUUUGCAAGGCCACCCGCUCGUCACCCCAUGCUCUCGACACAGGGAAACACAUUCUGCCUGGUAGACCUACCCUGGCACUUCUGCAGGUGAAGCCAAAGGCAAGAUAUGCUUCAUCAUAUUUUCUAGUGCUUGUCUUGGAUGAAGUUGGUUUGGAAACAUACUUGGCAAUGCUUCAUCUUCUGCUUUGGGUUUGUGUGGGAGCCCCUUCAAAAACCUGUCCAUUAUGCUAGCAGUGUCCAAGCAUUCUAUCUCGCCUUUUUUUUCAUAUCACGCCCCCUCUGCAAUGGCUCUACACCCCCACUAGGGGGCACGUCCCCCACUUUGGGAGCCUCUGGUAUGUAUAAAAGUAAAAACGGCUUUGAUUAUAAGAUGAUCAGACCAGUGAAACUCCCAUUUCUGUCAGUAUAAAAAGGACACAUGUUUAAGAGUUUUGUUACUCAGACAGAAAUACAAGUUUUGUUGGCUCAUCAUCCACACUGUCUGCUUAUUUUUUUUCCCUUUAAACUGUAAAAACAAACAGCACCUCUGUAGUGAAAAUCAGAAAGUUUUCAAACUUUUCUGUCAUUUAAUGUUUAUUGUUUAACUACUUUAUAAAGUGUGAAUGGCCACACAGAAGGCUUUUAUCAUUAGAAAAACCUUUAAAACUUACAAGAAAAAGAUGCUGACCGAGCUUUUCCUGAUGUUCAUUCUUUUAGUUGCUGUUUCAAUACCAACUAGGCCUGCACACAGGCAUUUGGACAAGUGGACCCAAACUGAGUCGACUCAUUUAUCUUUUUAUUUAUUCAGCUGUAUUCUAAACACCAGCUGCCUGUUGUAGGUUUUGGAGUGUUUGUGUGAUAUUUG